rnacentral:rRNA from 1 species
GACGUGAGGGCGCGAGCGUUGUCCGGAUUUAUUGGGCGUAAAGAGCUCGUAGGCGGCUUGUCGCGUCGAAUGUGAAAUCAUCAGGGCUCAACUCUGACAUUGCAUUCGAUACGGGCAGGCUAGAGUUCGGUAGGGGAGACUGGAAUUCCUGGUGUAGCGGUGAAAUGCGCAGAUAUCAGGAGGAACACCAGUGGCGAAGGCGGCUCGCUGGGACGGAUGACGCUGAGACGACGAAGCGUGGGGGAGCAAACAGG